GUUGGUGUAGCUCUGUGGUAUAGAGUGCAUGCAUUGUAUGUAGGAUGUCCUAGGUUCAAUCCCCAGCUUCUCCC
rnacentral:tRNA from 1 species